AUAACUCGUUUUCUGGCUAGCAGGCUGUUUAUAAAGGCUAAAGCAGAAAUAGCUAGCUUUCUGGCUAACAGGCUGUUUAUCAAGGUUAAAGCAGAAAUAGCUAGCUUUCUAGGUAGCAGGCUAAUGUGUAUCUAGGCUAAACCAGAAAUGGCUAUUGGCUACCAGGCUAAUUGUUAGCUAUUAUUCUUCUCUCCUUUUUAGCUGUUUUCCAUGGCCAUAGGGUAUGUGGUUGGUAAAUGUGUCAUCUGUUUUUGGUGAUUUUAUUCUCCCAUCUGCUCUCUUUGUCAGUAAACUCAUACACACACAGUCACUCACCCUCGAUAGAUCACACAAAGGCAUGCAUAUUCACUCACCCUUCACAAGCACUCCACAAUGCCCCUGUCCUCGUUCUUUGAGCAGAUGUCAUUGUGAGCUUUCAUACAGGAGGACAUUAGUAGGAGGUCUAUCAUACAGGAGGAGGUCAGUAGGUCUACCUAUCAUACAGGAGGAGGUCAGUAGGUCUACCUAUCAUACAGGAGGAGGUCAGUAGGUCUACCUAUCAUACAGGAGGAGGUCAGUAGAAGGUCUAUCAUACAGGAGGAACUCAGUGGGAGGUCUAUCAUACAGGAGGACAUUAGUAGGAGGUCUAUCAUACAGGAAUAACUCAGUAGAAGGUCUAACAUACAGGAGGAACUCAGUAGGAGGUCUACCUAUUAUACAGCAGGAUCUCAGUAGAAGGUCUAACAUACAGGAGGAUCUCAGUAGAAGGUCUAACAUACAGGAGGAUCUCAGUAGAAGGUCUAACAUACAGGAGGAACUCAGUAGUAGGUCUAACAUACUGGAGGAUCUCAGUAGGAGGUCUAUCAUGCAGGAGGAACUCAGUAGUAAGUUGAUUGCUGACAAAAGGCUCCUGUCAGGUGAGUUGGUGGCCGAGGCCACGUGGCAGAUUUAGACUUUGUCCCAAAUGGCACCCUAUUCCCUUAAUAGUGCACUACUUUUGACCAGGACCCACAGGGAAACCCAUAGGGCUCUGGUCAAAAGUAGUGCAGUAUAUAGGGAAUAGGGUGACAGUUGGUAUGCACUUCUCAACAGUAAUGAGGUUCAGUCAGGUUGGAUCCUCCUGUUAGUAAACACGGCCCUCCUUUAUCCCCCUCUCUUUUGUCCCCCUCUCCUUUUGUGAUGUCUGUUACACUAGUGCUCCGCUGUGCUGGGUAAAUAGACAUUUCAGAGUCCCUUCCAUUGUUGUAUUUUUG
ensembl:lncRNA